rnacentral:rRNA from 1 species
ACUCAAAGGAAUUGACGGGACCCCGCACAAGCAGCGGAGCAUGUGGUUUAAUUCGAAGCAACGCGAAAAACCUUACCAAGACUUGACAUCGUGCGACCGGUAUAGAAAUAUACCCUUCUUUUAGACGCAUAGACAGGUGGUGCAUGGUUGUCGUCAGCUCGUGUCGUGAGAUGUUGGGUUAAGUCCCGCAACGAGCGCAACCCUUAUAAACAGUUGCCAAUAUUAAGUUAGGAACUCUGUUUAGACUGCCGUGGACAACACGGAGGAAGGUGGGGAUGACGUCAAAUCAUCAUGCCCCUUACGUCUUGGGCUACACACGUGCUACAAUGGCUGUUACAAAGAGCUGCAAGCCGGUAACGGUAAGCCAAUCUCAAAAAAACAGUCUCAGUUCGGAUUGUGGGCUGCAACCCGCCCACAUGAAGCCGGAGUUGCUAGUAAUCCCGAAUCAGCAUGUCGGGGUGAAUGCGUUCCCGGGGUUUGUACACACCGCCCGU